rnacentral:rRNA from 1 species
GUGUCAGCAGCCGCGGUAAUACAGAGGGUGCAAGCGUUAAUCGGAAUUACUGGGCGUAAAGCGCACGUAGGUGGCUUUUUAAGUCGGAUGUGAAAUCCCCGGGCUUAACCUGGGAAUGGCAUUCGAUACUGAAAAGCUAGAGUCUGGUAGAGGGUGGUGGAAUUCCAGGUGUAGCGGUGAAAUGCGUAGAUAUCUGGAGGAACAUCAGUGGCGAAGGCGGCCACCUGGACUGAGACUGACACUGAGGUGCGAAAGCGUGGGGAGCAAACAGGAUUAGAAACCCUGGUAGUCC